CACGUAAUUAGCCGGACCUUAUUCGUAUAGUACUGUCAUUUUCUUCCUAUACAAAAGAUUUUUACAACCCGAAGGCCUUCUAAAUCACGCGGCGUCGCUGCAUCAGGGUUUCCCCCAUUGUGCAAAAUUCCCCACUGCUGCCUCCCGUAGGAGUCUGGGCCGUGUCUCAGUCCCAAUGUGGCCGUGCACUCUCUCAAGCCGGCUACUGAUCGUUGCCUUGGUGAGCUGUUAUCUCACCAACUAGCUAAUCAGACGCAAGUCCAUCUUACACCACUAAACAUUUUGACCAGAUUAUCAUGCGAUUGUCUGGUUUCAUAGGGUAUUAUUCUCCGUUUCCAGAGGCUAUCCUCUUGUGUAAGGCAGGUUACUCACGCGUUACUCACCCGUUCGCCACUAAUCCAUUCAUUUUCAUUCCGAAGAAUACUAAUGUAGUUUCAUUCGUUCGACUUGCAUGUGUUAUGCACGCCGCCAGCGUUAAUCCUGACGUCCGAGGAUACUAAA
rnacentral:rRNA from 1 species